UUCCGGUUGAUCCUGCCGGACCUGACUGCUAUCGGGAUGAGGCUAAGCCAUGGAAGUCGACGUGCGCCCUUGCGCACGUGGCGUACGGCUCAGUAACGCGUGGCUAACCUGCCCUCGCGACGGGGAUAACCUCGGGAAACUGAGGAUAAUCCCCGAUAGGCGAGCGGCUUUGGAAGAACCGCUCACCCAAAGGGACGAAGGGAACGGCCUUCGUCCGCGCGAGGAUGGGGCUGCGUCCCAUCAGGCAGUUGGUGGGGUAAUGGCCCACCAAACCUAUAACGGGUAGGGGCCGUGAGAGCGGGAGCCCCCAGAUGGGCACUGAGACAAGGGCCCAGGCCCUACGGGGCGCACCAGGCGGGAAACCUCCGCAAUGCGGUAACCCGUGACGGGGUCACCCCGAGUGCUCCCCUUAUGGGGAGCUUUUCCCCGCUGCAGGAAGGCGGGGGUAAUAAGUGGGGGGCAAGACUGGUGUCAGCCGCCGCGGUAAAACCAGC
rnacentral:rRNA from 1 species